rnacentral:lncRNA from 7 species
AAUCCUUGCUAAUUUCUCAGCUUGCCUGUGAGAGAGGAGGAGCUAAUCCUUCUAACGAUGAUUUUCCUCGUUCACCACUUGGUCUUGCUGGCCACAGACUUACUUCUCGCAACGAUCCUUUCUUGCCUCCUUUAUGCCUUUGCAUUCGUUUCCAUUGCUGUUUUUACCUGCUUCAUUAUCUUCUGGUCCUUCGGCGUCGUGGAGAAGAACAUUGACAUAAAAGGGAGAGCAAUUGUAAUUCUCGUAUCCAACAGCUCAAUUGGGAGGACGUUUGCUAGGAACUUGGAUAAAGCAGGUUUUAGGGUGUCUGCUGCACACUGGCCUCCUCAAGAGGAGGGAACAACUGCGAAAGAAGAGUGCUCUUCAAGAAUGGAGGUAGCACAGCUCCACAUGACAGAUGAUGAGUACCAGAAGACAAUGAAAACCUUCAUAGAAAGCCACUUAUCCCUGAAAGGCACGUAUGGGCUGAUGAAGAAGCCAUCAAUCCUGAUAUGGGAAGAAGUGGAACCAGACACGUGCAGGUUACCCGAGAGAAGAACCCCUCAUAAAUGGAAGAAGGUUUUCAGGGUUCCAGUUCAGGUUCAAAACAGUUUAUCUGAUGAAUCUAUGGCCACGUUAUGCAGCUAAGGCAAAAUGAUGGAGAAAACUGCUUUGAUUUCUGCACCUUUUGAGCUAUGGCCAGCAGGAAGAGAAGGAAACUUGACCUUCCCUCAUCCUUACCCUCCACCUCCACCUGAAGCUCUCAAUUUGCUAUGCUGCCGUAAUCGCUCCACAUUGGAAAUGGGCACUGGUCUGCAGGGAGGAACAGUAUGACCACUUUUACUCAUUUUGCAGUAGCAUUUUCAAGUCAGCAUCACCCAACAUUUGUCCUGCACAUCAGAAACGAGACUAAAUAGAAUGUAUUUCUUGUUUGCUUCUUUCU